rnacentral:rRNA from 1 species
CCUACGGGAGGCAGCAGUAGGGAAUUUUCGGCAAUGGGCGCAAGCCUGAACGAGCGAUGCCGCGUGAGUGAAGAAGGCCUUCGGGUCGUAAAGCUCUGUUGCGGGGGAAAAAUGGCAGCAUAAGGAAAUGGGUGCUGACUGAUGGUGCCCCGCCAGAAAGUCACGGCUAACUACGUGCCAGCAGCCGCGGUAAUACGUAGGUGGCGAGCGUUGUCCGGAAUGAUUGGGCGUAAAGGGUGCGCAGGCGGUUCUGGAAGUCUGGAGGGAAACGCAAGGGCUCAACUUAUGCAUGGCUUUGGAAACUGGAGGACUUGAGAGCAGGAGAGGGAGGUGGAACUCCAGGUGUAGCGGUAAAAUGCGUAGAUAUAUGGAAGAACACCAGUGGCGAAGGCGGCUGUCUGGCCUGUUGCUGACGCUGAGGCGCGAAAGCGUGGGGAGCAAAUAGGAUUAGAUACCCCGGUAGUC